rnacentral:rRNA from 1 species
GACGAACGCUGGCGGCGUGCUUAACACAUGCAAGUCGAACGAGUGGCGAACGGGUGAGUAACACGUGAGUAACCUGCCCCUUCUUCUGGAUAACUGCUUGAAAGGGUAGCUAAUACGGGAUAGUGGGGGAUGGGCUCGCGGCCUUUCAGCUUGUUGGGGGGGUGAUGGCCUACCAAGGCGGUGACGGGUAGCCGGCCUGAGAGGGUGACCGGCCACAUUGGAACUGAGAGACGGCCCAGCCUCCUACGGGAGGCAGCAGUGGGGGAUAUUGCACAAUGGGGGAAAGCCUGAUGCAGCGACGCCGCGUGGGGGAUGAAGGCUUUCGGGUUGUAAACCUCUUUCGCUAUCGAACGGGUAGGUGGAGAAGAAGCGCCGACUAACUACGUGCCAGCAGCCGCGGUAAUUC